rnacentral:rRNA from 1 species
CUUGGUGAGUAUAGCUAUGGGGGUACACCUAGUUACAUUUCGAACCUAGAAGUUAAGCCCAUAUACGCUGAUGGUACUUGAUUGGAAGCGACCUGGGAGAGUAUGGAUUUGCCAAGC